UACGUAGGCAGCAAGCGUUGUUCGGAAUUACUGGGCGUAAAGAGUGUGUAGGCGGUGCUCCAAGUCUGGUGUGAAAUCUCCCGGCUUAACUGGGAGGGUGCAUUAGAAACUGGAAUGCUAGAGGAUGGGAGAGGUAAGCGGAAUUCCUGGUGUAGCGGUGAAAUGCGUAGAUAUCAUUUGGAACGCCAAUGGUGAAAACAACUCGCUGGGGGUGUGCUGACGCUGAGACACGAAAGCCAGGGGAGCGAACGGG
rnacentral:rRNA from 1 species